UACAGAGGGUGCAAGCGUUAAUCGGAAUUACUGGGCGUAAAGCGCACGUAGGUGGGUUAGAAAGUUGGAUGUGAAAGCCCUGGGCUUAACCUGGGAACUGCAUUCAAGACUAUUAGCCUAGAGUACAGGAGAGGGAAGUGGAAUUUCCGGUGUAGUGGUGAAAUACGUAGAUAUCGGAAGGAACACCAAUGGCGAAGGCAACUUCCUGGACUGAUACUGACACUGAGGUGCGAAAGCGUGGGGAGCAAACAGG
rnacentral:rRNA from 1 species